UGAGCGGAGAUAUAUGGAGCUUGCUUUAUAUAACUUAGCAGCGAACGGGUGAGUAACACGUAGAUAAUCUAUCCUAUACUGGGGGAUAGCCCGAUGAAAGUUGGAUUAAUACCGCAUAUAGCUAUAUAGUUGCAUGAUUAUGUAGUGAAAGAUUUAUUGGUAUAGGAGGAGUCUGCGGCACAUUAGCUAGUAGGUGAGGUAAAGGCUUACCUAGGCGACGAUGUGUAGCCGGUCUGAGAGGAUGAACGGCCACAAUGGAACUGAGACACGGUCCAUACUCCUACGGGAGGCAGCAGUGGGGAAUAUUGCACAAUGGGGGAAACCCUGAUGCAGCAACGCCGCGUGAGUGAAGAAGGUUUUCGGAUUGUAAAGCUCUGUUAGCAGGGAAGAGGAAGGACGGUACCUGCAGAGGAAGCCACGGCUAACUACGUGCCAGCAGCCGCGGUAAUACGUAGGUGGCAAGCGUUGUUCGGAAUAACUGGGCGUAAAGGAUGCGUAGGCGGUUAAACAAGUUAUAUGUUAAAUAUAUAGGCUUAACCUGUAGAAAGCAUAUAAAACUGUUUAACUAGAGUGCAGGAGAGGUAAGUGGAAUUCCUAGUGUAGCGGUGAAAUGCGUAGAGAUUAGGAAGAACACCAGUGGCGAAGGCGACUUACUGGACUGUAACUGACGCUGAGGCAUGAGAGCAUGGGGAGCAAACAGGAUUAGAUACCCUGGUAGUCCAUGCUGUAAACGAUGGGUACUA
rnacentral:rRNA from 1 species